rnacentral:rRNA from 1 species
CAUAGCGACUAUCGUGGCAUAUCAAUAAGCGGAGGAAAAGAAACUAACAAGGAUUCCCCUAGUAACGGCGAGGUGAAGCGGGAAGAGCUCAAAUUUGAAAUCUUAAAGGGUUUCCCUUUACGAAUUGUAGUUUAAAGAAGUGUUUUCUGUUGGAGUUUCGGUAAAAGUUCUUUGGAAUAGGACAUCAUAGAGGGUGAGAAUCCCGUAUUUGACCGUUACUUUCCAGCUGUGUGAUACACUCUCAAAGAGUCAGAUUGUUUGGGAAUGCAGUCCAAAAUGGGUGGUAAAUUUCAUCUAAAGUUAAAUAUUGGCGAGAGACCGAUAGCGAACAAGUACCGUGAGGGAAAGAUGAAAAGAACUUUGAAAAGAGAGUUAAACAGUACGUGAAAUUGUCAAAAGGGAAGCGUUUGACACCAGUGUUGUUUAGUUGAAAAUCAAUUCAAUGAUUUUUCGAUUUUGAAGUAGUAUUGACCUUCAUCAGCUUGCUGCUUUCUUUUCUCGGAAAUUAUUGAAUGCACUUUUCAGUUAACAAGUCAACAUCAAUUUCUUUUGUUGUAAAAGGGUAAGAGGAAGGUGGCUUACGCUUCGGCGUAAGUGUUUAUAGCCUUUUACCUCUGCAAUCGGAGAGAUUGAGGACAGCAGCGUAGACUCCUUCGGGGGUUAGAUACACUUGUGCUAAGCUAUAGCCUUGUAUAGACAACUUGUUGACUAUGCUCAGUCACUGCAGCUUACUCGCUUGAUGCUAUUUUACCUACGCUUAGGAUGUUGACGCGCGUGUGUGCGUG